CGGGUUGUAAAGCACUUUCAUAGGGGAGGAAGGUAGUGUAGUUAACACCUGCAUUAUUUGACGUUACCUACACGAAGAAGCACCGGCUAACUCCGUGCCAGCAGCCGCGGUAAUACGGAGGGUGCGAGCGUUAAUCGGAAUUACUGGGCGUAAAGCGCAUGCAGGCGGCCUGUUAAGUCAGAUGUGAAAGCCCGGGGCGUUAACCUCGGAAUUGCAUUUGUAAACUGGCAGGCUAGAGUCUUGUAGAGGGGGGUAGGAAUUUCAGGUGUAGCGGUGAAAUGCGUAGAGAUCUGAAGGAAUACCAGUGGCGAAGGCGGCCCCCCUGGACAAAGACUGACGCUCAGAUGCGAAAGCGUGGGGAGCAAACAGGAUUAGAUACCCCUGGUAG
rnacentral:rRNA from 1 species